rnacentral:rRNA from 1 species
UAUUGGACAAUGGGGGAAACCCUGAUCCAGCGAUGCCGCGUGGGGGAAGAAGGUUUUCGGAUUGUAAACCUCUGUGGACAGGGACGAUAAUGACGGUACCUGUCAAGAAAGCCACGGCUAACUACGUGCCAGCAGCCGCGGUAAUACGUAGGUGGCGAGCGUUGUCCGGAAUUACUGGGUGUAAAGGGAGUGUAGGCGGGAAGGCAAGUCAGAAGUGAAAAUUAUGGGCUCAACCCAUAACCUGCUUUUGAAACUGUUUUUCUUGAGUGAAGCAGAGGCAAGCGGAAUUCCUAGUGUAGCGGUGAAAUGCGUAGAUAUUAGGAGGAACACCAGUGGCGAAGGCGGCUUGCUGGGCUUUUACUGACGCUGAGGCUCGAAAGCGUGGGGAGCAAACAGGA